GGGGGUCUGUAAACAUGAAUCCAGUGAGAAAGAAAGAUGGGUUUGGAAUGACAUGAGGUGGCCUCUAUAGAGAAAACACAGGGUUAUGAAGAAACCGUAGGAGGAACAAUGGCUCGAAAAAGGACACCCGUCCUCCUCUGCUCGACUUGGAACUCAAUUUGUCCUCCCGCACAGUUUUGGCAAGAAAAAGCCAUCUGAAGGCAUAAAUAUACAUUGAGCAUCAGUCUGUGGUUUAUGGCAGAGAACCUACGCAACAAACAACAAACGUCUACGUAUUACAGCAAAAGCCUACGCUAAAAGGAAAUCGCACACUUAUACGUAGAUAUGUUUAUUUGUGUUGCCAUUGUGGGCCGCUCUCACGCUGAACUACAGGCCUGAGAGGAAGUUUCCAGUGCGGUUACCAUGACGAGGGUCUUGGAGUACAGGAAGUUCAGUGCUAAGAGAAAUGACAUCCGAGAGGGACGCAGACAAACAUUUGUCCAGAUGAACUGGGGUAACAGGAUUGUGUUUGGACAGGAGCUUCUCUCCGCAGGGAACAAGCUGUAGAAACAAGCUGAAGAAAUUGAGAAAUUCAUGAAAAUGUCUGUUUCCGACUGGAAUGAAGAUUUUACAGGCAAAACAAAGAAAAGCCCCCUCGGCUGGAGAGAGAGAGAGGGAUGGAAUGAGAAAGAGAGCUAGUGAAACAGUGAGUCAUGAGUGCAGCUUUGAACAACAAGGGGAAAUCCUCCUAUUGAGAGGCAUGUGCUAUGGAAACACAUCACUCAUAGAGGUAACGGAACCGGAGGCCACACAUAAACCAAAACCUUUAGCCAU
ensembl:lncRNA